rnacentral:tRNA from 3 species
GGGCCUAUGGCGCAAUUGGUAGCGCGUAGUAAGUUCCACUUGCAUUCCAACAGAUUGCAAAAAACAUCCUUCUAACAGAUUGAAAUAGCGACUCCAGAUCGUAAGGUUGUCCGAUCGAGCCGGGCUGGGCUCA